rnacentral:rRNA from 1 species
AGGAUUAACGCUGGCGGCGUGCCUGACACAUGCAAGUCGAACGAGGCCGCAAGGCCGAGUGGCGGACGGGUGAGUAACACGUGACCAACCAACCUCGAAGUUGGGAAUAGCUCUGCGAAAGUAGGGGUAAUACCGAAUGUGGCCCAGGGCGGGCAUCCGCCUUGGUCUAAAGAUUCAUCGCUUCGAGACGGGGUCGCGGCCUAUUAGCUUGUUGGUGGGGUAACGGCUCACCAAGGCGAUGAUGGGUAGCUGGUCUGAGAGGACGACCAGCCACACUGGGACUGAGACACGGCCCAGACUCCUACGGGAGGCAGCAGUGAGGAAUCUUCCGCAAUGGGCGAAAGCCUGACGGAGCAACGCCGCGUGUGGGAUGAAGGCUCUAGGGUUGUAAACCACUGUCGGAGGGGACGAUCGUGACGGUACCCUCCAAGAAAGCCCCGGCUAACUACGUGCCAGCAGCCGC